UGAGGACCCUAGCACGUGGGAUGCUGCCCUGGCGCCCCUCCUGGGUGGGCCAUGGCUCUUCCCUGCUCCUGCAUGUGUCUCCUUCAAUGAUGAAGUCUGGCUAAUUCCUAGGAGCAAAACGGAGACACCCACGUGUGCUGGGCUGCCUGGAGACAAAGCUGGAACCACGUGCUCUGGACAGACGUUGAGGCCUCUGCUGUGCGGCUGACCAGAGGACUCCUGCAGCGUGGCUGAGGUCUGCACUCCUGGUCCUCUCCCUCGGUGUCUCUGCAUUUACAUUCACGUGACAGGGUUCUGUCCCAGCCAGCAGGCAGGCGUCGGCUGGAAUGCCUGAAACACAAGCGAUCACGUGAGUCUCCCUGGCAACCGCAUCUUCCGAGCGCGCUCCUCCUGCCAGGACAGGCCGGCUUCCUCAGCUGGAGCGCAUGGGUGUGUGGGGGCGAGCGGGAAAGGAGGAGUGUGUCCGCUGCAGCUCCCUCCCUGGGGAGCAUCGCACGCAGAGGCACGCGUGUCCGCGCAGGUGCCGCACUGCCGGGACGUGGAGGGGGUUCUAGGAGAAGCUGAAGGACCCCCCUGCUCCUGCGGUGCUCCCUCACCCACGAUGGGUCUCCUGAGGCUACAGCCAAGCCCCGUUUCCUGAUCUGACACCAGCCACGUGGUCCCGCGUGGGACCUCAACGUCAUCCUCAUUUCGUGGGUCACUCUUGCCUCGGUGACGCUACAAGUCGUCCCCGCUCCUCUGAAACACUCCUCCCGUGACCCAGGGCCCUUGCACCUGCCUCCCCCGGCCCCCCUGGACGGCUCCUCCUCAACCUCCGCUUUCUCCACGGCUCGCGGAUGCUGGUGCCCCGGGUGCUGUUCCCAGCUCGCUGCAAACGUGCUCGCUGCGCGCGCCGGCGCCUGCGCCUGUGCCUGUGCCUGUGUGCACGCGCCUGUGCCGUGUGCGUGCCCGUGUGCGCGCGCCUGUGCCGUGUGCGUGCGCCUGUGCCUGUGUGCGUGCGCCUGUGCCUGUGUGUGUGCGCCUGCGUCGUGUGCGUGCCUGUGUGCGCCUGCGCCGUGUGCGUGCCCGUGCGCGCGCACGUGUGGCGGCGGCAACUCCAGGGCGACGUAGCCGCAGGUGGCUUUACGACUCCCCAUGCUUCCGCGCCAACGGUACCAACGCCUUAACCCAACCCAAGUCAGAAACCUGGGGGUUAUUCCAAGGCCCCUCCGUUUCCAGCGGUCACGCAGAGCUUCGGAUUUUCUCAACUACAUCAUCCCUUCGGUGCCUCCAGAAGAAACUAGAGGUCUCUGCGCUAAGGAAGCGGGCCAGCCCGAGGUAAGAGAGUAAAGGGUUGCCGUGUGAGGGCUUCCACGAGGUCCCGUGACCAAGGAGAUGGCGGGUGAAAGCCCCGCCAGGCACGGACUUCCAGCCCGCUUUUUAAUGCCCGACUCUUCAGCAAGAGUGGGCACUCAGGAAUCACUUGGCAUCUGAGAAAAGAAAAAAACUAACGUAAAGACAAAGACCAGAGCAAACAUGCAGAAAAAGAAACUUGGAAGGACAAUCUAUGGAGGAAGAAAAACAAAAUAGAACAAAACUACAGGUGUAAUUAAUCUCAGAUAUAGGAGAAAAAUGUGCCGUAGUGACACAAAGAAGAAAACGUGAUAAAAAUUAAAUAUGUUGCACUCUCAGAAUUUAAAAACAACAAAAUUAAAGAAUUAAUAGAAAGGGUGGAAGAUAAAGUUGAGGAAAUUUCCCACAAUGUAGAGUAAAACGACGAAAAGAUAUUAGGAGAGAAAAUAUAAGACAGUUAUAGGGCUCAGAACAGUGUCUAACCUCUGACCCUGUGAUUUAGAGCAGAGAAAAUGAAGGAAUCAUCAUAGAAUCACCUGAGAAAAGUCUUCUGGAUCUAAAAGAUGUGAACGAGCGUCGUGUCGCCGUGCACGCGGCAGAUGGGGAGCGCUGGGGGUGGGCUGGCGUCCCCCACCGCUCUGCGCAGGGAUCCUUGGAGCCUCUUUCUGGUGAUCAGGUGUGUGCCGACACGCUGCACUGGGUGCUGGACCUCCCAGCUUGGGGCCCGUCGGAACGGCCAGGCCUAACGACCUUGCUCAGAAGCGCACCCACACUGACUUCCUUAGAGAGUGGAGGGCCAGAGGCACAGCCAGUGUGUAGAGGUUGUUAACUAAACAAAGAGGCCAUGAGACUGACUGGGAUCCAAGGCCCACGUAGGCAAGGCAGAGCUGUACCCCGAAGUGCCCCAAAACGAAGGGAUCGACCCUCAGGGCAGCCUGUCGCCAGCAGCCAGCGAGGCGGGGGGCGCCGGUGGGUCGAAGCUCCCGACCUCGCUUCUGCCUCCUCUCUGCACAAGGCUCCCCUCGGCGCCCUUGGGGAUACCUCCUAACAGAUUCUACUUUGGGGCAGCCCGAUUUGAAUUGAUGUUUUUCCUCAAAUAAACUGUUAAAAGUUUAAUAUGUUUUAGCUUGUCUUUUAACAAAGUGAAAGAGAGUUAAGUCAGCAGAGAAAAGAUAUGGAAAGUUGACGCAAAUGCGGCAAAAUCUUGGUAAUGAAGAAUCUGGAACAUGCAUUCCUUAGCGGAGGCUCCCGUUACUGCAAAACAAUGGAAAGAGCCGCACCUGCUAGUCAGUCACAGCAAGAAGGUGGAUUAAAAGGGGGAGGUGAAGAGCUAAUGAUACGGCUGCUGGACGUGGAGGCUGGAAGGCGCGCCCACAGAAGGAAGGUGGAGGAAGUAACCAGGUCACUCAAGAAGGAGGCAAAUGCCUUCAGACCCAGCUUCUUUCCUCUUUGAAGACCUUGCAGAAAGAAACAAACCUCAGCAACGCCUAAGCGGCACUUUAGAAGCUCGAGAGCAGCCUCUACAAUAAAGCUAAAGGUCAGAGAUGAACUGAGGCCAUCACACUGCUGUCUGUUGAGGCCAGUUUUAGCUGCCAGACCUGUCUUCCUGUUUCUUUGUAUGCCUUGUGAUUUUUUGGUUGAAAACUGGACAUUUAAGCCUUAUACUGUUGUAAUUCUAGAAGUCAGAUUCUCCCGUCUCCUGGUGUUUGCUGUUUGCUGUUGCCGGCUCCGUGCUGGGCACCAGCCUGAGGCGAUACGUAAGGCCUACUCACAUCUUUUCUGAGUCUGCACCCUUCCCUGGCCAUGUGUGGUGGCUUUCUAAAUCCCCCUGUAUAUGUGCUUGUGUUUGAAUGUCCUAAUCCUUAAAUGUCUGGCUUCCAAAAGAGCAAAGAGGGAACAAAAGCUGCACAGGGGCUGCUCCCUCAGACGCGGUGGCGUUGAGACAGUGGCGGCCAGCGCCUGUCCCUCAGCGGUCAAGAAUCCUGAUGUGUGGCCCGGGACCUCACCGCCCAUCCUGGCUCCAGCAAGCUGCCCUAGGAACGUGGGCAUGGCUGUCUGCCAAAGGGCUGGAGGAUGAGCAGCCAAAAGGGACGGAUGGAAAUUAACCGCAACGAAGCAGCCAAGCCUCCUGGGAUGCUGCAAGCCUUCAGUUUCUCCAGGACGACUGCUGCCCAGACAGAGGGGGACUCCUGGAGCAGCCUCCUGCUGGGCCACCUUCCCUGACAUCACUCUUCUCCCAUGAAGUUUUGAAUGUAGUAUUUUUAUUAUUAUUUCUAGAAGCAAUUUUGAUUUUGAUUUCCUCAAUAAAAAUUUAGAAUGAUGGAUUAAUUUCCAAGUGGAAAGAUUCCUGUUUUAUCCUUCUGUUGUUGAUUUCUCAAGUUAUUUUCUUGUGGACAGAAAAUAUGUCUUAUGUGAUUUCUGCUUUUCACUAAAUUGGUUUAGAUUUUCUUUGGAGCCUGUAAUACACAGAUUUUUUUUUAAUUGUCCGUAUGUUUUUUGAAAAUAAUACAGAAGGGCAUAUAUUAUCCUGUAUGUUUCUAUUAGAAUAAACUCUUGA